rnacentral:rRNA from 1 species
AUUGAACGCUGGCGGCAUGCCUUACACAUGCAAGUCGAACGGUAACAGGUCUUCGGAUGCUGACGAGUGGCGAACGGGUGAGUAAUACAUCGGAACGUGCCUAGUAGUGGGGGAUAACUACUCGAAAGAGUGGCUAAUACCGCAUGAGAUCUACGGAUGAAAGCAGGGGAUCGCAAGACCUUGUGCUACUAGAGCGGCCGAUGGCAGAUUAGGUAGUUGGUGGGAUAAAGGCUUACCAAGCCGACGAUCUGUAGCUGGUCUGAGAGGACGAUCAGCCACACUGGGACGGAGACACGGCCCAGACUCCUACGGGAGGCAGCAGUGGGGAAUUUUGGACAAUGGGCGAAAGCCUGACCCAGCAAUGCCGCGUGCAGGAUGAAGGCCUUCGGGUUGUAAACUGCUUUUGUACGGAACGAAAAGCCCCGGGUUAAUACCCUGGGGUCAUGACGGUACCGUAAGAAUAAGCACCGGCUAACUACGUGCCAGCAGCCGCAGUAA